rnacentral:rRNA from 1 species
AUGGCAUGUGGUGCUUACCGGGACGUGAGAGUCGCGUGCGCUGCGCUUGGGGUCGGUGGCGGAGAAGACGGUGUAGACGAGCACGAAGGUGCCGAUGAUCUCCGCAGCGAGGCCGGUGCCCUUGGAGUAGCCGGCGGCGAGCGUGUUGGCGCCGCCGCCGUACCUGACGAAGUAGGCGCUCUGGAAGGCCUUGACGAGGCCGACCCCGCACAUGGCGCCGAGGCACUGCGCAAUCAUGUAGAGCAGCGCGCGGACCAGGGACACCUUGCGCGCCAGGAAGAGGCCGAAGGUGACGGCCGGGUUGAUGUGGCCCCCGGAGAUGCCGGCGGUGCAGUAGACGAGGACGAAGAUCAUGCCGCCGAAGGCCCAGGCGAUGCCGAGCACGCCCACGCCGCCGCACGCUGCGUCGGCGGCGCUGUUCACCGCCGGGUCCGUCUGGUGCUUGUACCCGAUGACGGUGGCCACGGUGAUGUAGAGGAAGAGCAGCGUGGCGAUGAACUCGGCGAUGACGGCGCGGUAGAGCGACCAGGAGGCCAGCUCGGCCGCGUCGAUCAGCGGGGCCGGCGGCGGGUCCGUGUAGUCCUUGGCCGCGAAGUCGCCGCCGCCGCCGGUCUCCAUCACCUCGUCCUUGGCCAUCGGCUUGUGUAG